UUACGGCCAUAUCACUAUGAAACAUCGGUUCUCGUACGAUCACCGAAAUCAAGCAACGUCGAGCAUGGUCAAUAUACAGAUGGGUGACCCCUUAGAAAUAUCAGGUGCUGUAAGC